UUCAGAUCAUCUCAGGUGUGCUAAGGAAACUCAUCUCUUCUCAUCGUUUUCAUCUUCUACCAGACUUUUCUACCAAAUGGCUGAAUCUGACACAGGCAGCAGUGAUGGAGAAUUUGCUGAACGUUUGGUAACUUCACUGAUAGCUAUCAGUUUUGUGACUCCAAAAGAAAUUCUGAACAAGCUCCAAGGACUUGUUACAAAUAUCCACUGGAGCCGAGAGGAUGUGACUGAAUUAUUCAAAGCUCUUCUGGAGCGGUUUGAGUCAACAACAUAUGAUGGAUCACAUCUCUUCUCAUGGAUGUUGAACAUGUUGCAGUGUAUACAGAUUAAUUACAUCACUCCAGGUUGGAAAAGUCUAACAGGAAGGACUCUUAUCCAGCUGGUCCGAGACAAGACUGUAACAGAUAAAGACAUUAAGAAAAACCUAGCCAAUGACCCGGAAAAGUCCCUGGACCAAAUCCUUGAAGAAAUCCGCCAACAACGGUUAAACCACAUUGACGACAAUGUUUUGAAAGACGUGAGAGACAUUGUGUCAGCAGUUGUUGAGGAUCUGAAGUCACACAGUGAUGGAUCACAGAGGAAAGGCUUGAAAACAGUCCUGCUAAAGCUUUGUCGGGCAGUGGAAAAGAGUCAGAAGUUCAGACCACGACUGACACAGAUGGUCAGCUGGUGUAUAAUGGCUCUGUCCAAAACAGGGCAGUUAAUUCAGGUUGGUACUGGAGAGGGAAAGUCCUGCAUAAUUGCAAUGUUUGCAGCUUUUCGAGCUUUGAGAGGAGAAGAAGUAGACAUCUUUACUUGUUCACCAGUUCUUGCAGAAAGAGAUUUUGAAGAAUGGAAAGACUUUUAUGAAAUGUUGAAAAUCAGUGUCAACUGCAACACCAACAAACAAGUCGAUCAGUUAAAAACGUGCUAUGAGUGUAAGGUGGUAUAUGGCACUACUCGUGAAUUUGCAGGACACUGGCUACACCAGAUCUUUGAAAGAAUGGUCACAUUUGGGGAAAGGAAAUGCCAGUGUGCAAUAGUGGAUGAAGUAGAUUCCUUGAUGUUAGAUAAAGGUAAUGACUUGGUCUAUAUAGCCAGCGAUAUGCCUGCUUUGCAACAUCUCGAUCCACUCCUGGCAUUGAUAUGGACAACUGCUAAAAAAUACAGCAAUGGCUUUCCUCAGUUAAUUUAUUCUGAUACAGAGAGUAAGGUAAGGGCUGCAGAAGUAGAAAUAAAACAAGCUCUGCAUUUUACACCGUGUGAGCUCAACAAAGAUCGAAUGGCGUGUUAUGUCCCAGGUUUCCUUUCAGAUCUGGUCAGCUCCAAACUAAAGGUUUGGAUUGAAAAUGCGUUCAAAGCACAAACCAUGACAAAAGAUCGUGAAUAUACCCUCGAGAUUCAUGGGAUAGUGCCUGUUGACUACAACUCCACAGGUGUUGUUGAAAACUUUACGGUAAUGUCGGAUGGACUACAGCAGUUUCUUGAGAUGAAACAUCAGUACAAGCUGAGUGACAUGACGGCCGUCACAAACUAUAUGUCCAAUGUGGAACUGUUUCUGAAGUACAAGGAUCAGAUCUUUGGGAUUUCUGGGACUCUUGGCCAACAAGCAGAGACUGACACACUGGAGAAAAUCUAUGAAGGUGUCAAGACCUGUCAGAUACCUCCAUUCAAACGCAGAAAGCUGUUUGAGGUUGAAGGAGUGAUUGCAUGUGAAGAACAAGAAUGGGUUCAGGAAAUCUGCAACGUUGUAUUGGCAGAAACAAGCCUUACUCCAUUUAGGGCUCAAAGAGCUGUGUUGGUCAUUUGUGAGACCAUCCAACAAGCAAAGGACCUUCACCUUGCUUUAGAAAAAAAAGUCCCAGACAAAAAGCUUUACAUAAGCAACAACAUGAACAAUUCUGCAAUCUUUGAAAGUAAGCUUGAAGCAGGAGAGGUCAUUGUAGCAACAAAUCUUGCUGGAAGAGGGAUGGACCUUAAGGUCUCUGACCAGGUAAAGAGAGCUGGAGGUUUGUUCGUUCUGCAGACCUUUCUGCCCAAGAAUGCUCGAGUGGAGGCACAGGCAUUUGGCCGAACUGCAAGACAAGGAUCUCCUGGGUCUGCUCAGCUCAUUAUCUGCUCAGACCACCUACCAGAACCACUCAAAUUGUUGGCUUUGAUGGGGAAACUUCAAACUUUAUUGGAGAGCUCAAAUUCACAGAUAAAGAUAGUUAAAGAGUUCAGAGAUGAUGUAGUGGCUCAAGAACUAGCCAGCUACUUGGAGUGUGAAAUCCCAAAAAUAAAGAAGAAGGAAGGGCUCUUCAGAAGGUAUCUGGAGACAUUAGAUGAAUUGUACCAGAGCAAUAACAACAAGCCAGCAGCUUCAGGUUUGUCUGCACUCAAUGAAUUCUGGGGUAUUUGGCUUCUCACAAACUUCAAUGAAAACGAAUCUACCUCGAACUUAGAAAACAAACUUAGAGAAGACUUGGAAACAGCCAGGCAAAAACUCGACCGGAGAGAAUCUCCUUCCUCAAACCUGCAUCACUACACUGCAUUUGGCAACGAAUUGCGCAAACAGGGGCAAAUAGCAGAGAGCAUUAUGAUGUACACUAAGGCCAUACAGGAGGACCACUGUUGGGCAGCAAUUGCAUAUUACAACCGUGCUUUUGCAUCUUUAUCCCAGCAAGAGAUGCAACAUGAUCCAAACUGCAUCGAUCAAGCUCUAGAAGAUUUGCAAAAUGCACUCAAGUCUGUUGAGCUCCACUGCGAACAAAUUAAGUUAACUUAUGUGUGCUCCAAAGAUAUCAUGGAACUCUGCAGGGAUUCAGUCAACCGAUUUGACUCUCACAUGUCAACCAGACACUCAUUAUUGCUGUAUUUCAAAAGAAACAUUGAUGAGGCCAUAAAAAACCUGGACAGCGCAAAACGGUUUGGCAGAAAGGUGAAAUCGGAAGCAAGUCUAGUAUACUUUAUGGUUCCAGCAGUCCAUCUUCUGCCCUGGUUAGUGCGUUCUGCAGAAUCACUGCCUCUGAUCCGCUCCGGAGACCCUCUGAAGUUGCGCCAGCUAAUUAGCCAUCACGACUUUGACAUUGGCAUUGAACUCACACGUCUUGAAAAUCUGGGCCUGACUCAAGUCUAUACCUUGGACACAGAGUUCUCUCUGCGUGGCUUUUUCUCAAAGCUAUGUAGACCAUAAGUCAAACGUCUACAGAUGUCAGGUGUUCGGGGUUUGAGCAAAGCUAUCAAGAAAGCAACAAACCAGACAGUGGUGUUGAAAGGAAAUUUUUCGACCACAACAUUUAAAGAAGUUAGAAACACAGCAUAUAUUCAUCAGUCUGGGGGUUUUUAAGUUCAUGUUGUUGCUUUAAAGUUCUUUCUUUACUUCCCCUUUUGGUUUAGAAAACCAUGUGAUCUGAAAACCAUCAAAAACAACGCAGUCAGAUUAAAAGUUUUAGGUGUUAAUACUUUUUUGAUAUUUGAAUCAGUGCAGGUUCCCUGUUCAUUAUUAAUGUACAUAAAAUAUGGUUUAUUUUUCUAUAUCUACAUUUCUUGUCAGUUCAAACAACUGCUUAUCAUGGUUUUUAAUUCAGCUUUCAUUAUCAUUUUUAUCUUGUGAAUUUGAAAGGUUUUUAUUUUAUCUUUUUUAAUAUUCAUAUUUGUAUUUUAUCUUUACAAAAUGUAUACUUGAUCCUUUGUCUAUGAAAAUGAAAAAUACAUGUUGUGAAGCUGAUACUACACAGAAACAAUUCUUUAGACACCUAAAAACAGUAACAUGUAUUUAUGUCAUUAGUAUACUUUUAUGGUUCACUAAAGUAACUCGGUUUAUAUUCAAGGUUUAUAUUUUUGGAAGUCUAUGACACUUCUAAACAUUACAAUCUAAAUUCAUUUUGAUUUGAAACUUGUUGGUGAUUGACUCAUCAUUUGAAAUACUCAUUACUACACUUUAUUUACAUAUGUAGGCCAAUCAUAGUCACAUUGUAAUAAGCAACUUAAAUGAUUUAUACAUGUCUUUGUGUGUUAAAGAAGCUGCUCAUAGCAACAUUGCAGGGUAUGCUUUGAACAUGGAAUAAAUAUAAUCAUUUCAAUUCUG